rnacentral:lncRNA from 1 species
UUCUCUUCUCCGCUUUUUGAAAGAGGAGGGGAAAGAGUCAAAGCCCACUCCUUUCACACGGAAGAGCGAGGUGUGAAGGACCUCGGGCUGCUUUCCUGAGGUGCGAUUGGCGUCCCAAGUCGGUUCGCCGAUGCCGAGUAUGUGAGAGCAAGCGCGCUCACUUGUCCUUAUCCAUCUCCCUGCCGAUUGGCUCGCUUCCUGGAUAAAACGAGCUUCCGCCUCCGCUCUGCCCCUCCCGCAGUGCUGGGGUGCAGGACGUAUUUCUCUGCGGUGAGCGUCGAGCCGGUUCUUCCCUCCUCCGGAGCGAGCUUCUUCUCUUCUGCGCGCGGGGAUCAGGGCAGCUCAGUCAAUCUCAUCGGGGAUGGACCCGAAGCCCGGCUACGCCUACCCUUACCCCGCCCAAGGUGCGCCCCCAUCCCUCUGCCCUCUUCCCUUAAAUAGCAACCAUCUCUUUUUUCCGAGGCCCCCUCCUGCGCGAUCAUUCGCUUCUAGAGAGGAGGAAUUCUGCCCAGGAAGAAAGGCUGUUGGGCUUCCGGUAUGAGCUCCUUAUUUACUUGUGUGACGACCUUCGUACUGCUCGCGCAUGACUUCGCCUCCAGAUAACUCUCGUGGCACUGUCAACGUCGCCAUCUUCUCUUUUUUCCUAUGAAGAAGAGGAAGAUUUUUGCGCACCAUUUACAGCUCCUAUUUGUGAAAAGUUUCGAGUCUGUUGGUUUUGAUACAUAUGCAUAUAUGUAUAUAUGCGCUCUGCGGAUGAGGCAGGUUACUACCAGGGCCCCCCCGUUAUGGCGCCGCCACAGUACGCCGCCGCGCCGCCGCGCCGCUCGUCCGGCUUCCUCGAGGGCUGGUAACCUUUCUCCCCAUCUUCCCCAUGGCAGCACUAGACGCACAGAAUGCUCUCCGUUCACAGUAGUAGGAAAGAGAGGAAAAUUCCGACGAUGACACGCGGUAUGCCUGCGAUGCGAGCAGCCUUGCCGCGCUGUGCUGCUGCUGGCUCGUCGACGAGUGCUGCUGCGACCCUUCCGUCAUCUGCGUCUUCUGAUGGGCCCGUCUCGGACUGUCGAGACGACCGCGCACGCAUGGAUCCCUACCUACCCUACUUGCAGACGUGAUAAGGGCCUGUAAGAGGGUCGGACCUCUCAUUGGAGGAUCGUCAUGACAAUAAAGCCCGGCCCGCCGUCGUAGAACGAACGCUGUAAAUUGUAGUCGCAUGGGACAAACGCUGUAAAUCUCCGGCUCCUACUUGGCUGCUUACAGUCCCCCCUUGUCACCAAUUAAAUGAUUGAUUAAUCGGGCACCUCCAUCCUCCGCACGUAAGGCGAAAUGCCACCACACCCUCGCUCGGAUCGUCGCCGAAUGAGUACGUCCGCUUGCGAGCGGAGCAUGUCCACCUUCCCGAUCUUUGAUCGAACGCCGGCCGAUUCCCCAACAAGAUGCACGUCUAAGCAGCUU